CCUACGGGAGGCAGCAGUCGAGAAUCAUGCACAAUGGGGGAAACCCUGAUGGUGCGACGCCGCGUGGGGGAAUGAAGGUCUUCGGAUUGUAAACCCCUGUCAUGUGGGAGCAAAUGAAAAAGAUAGUACCACAAGAGGAAGAGACGGCUAACUCUGUGCCAGCAGCCGCGGUAAUACAGAGGUCUCAAGCGUUGUUCGGAAUCACUGGGCGUAAAGCGUGCGUAGGCUGUUUCGUAAGUCGUGUGUGAAAGGCGCGGGCUCAACCCGCGGACGGCACCGGAUACUGCGAGACUAGAGUAAAGGAGGGGGAACGGGAAUUCUCGGUGUAGCAGUGAAAUGCGUAGAUAUCGGGAGGAACACUCGUGGCGAAGGCGGGUUCCUGGACAUUAACUGACGCUGAGGCACGAAGGCCAGGGGAGCGAAAGGGAUUAGAUACCUCUGUAGUC
rnacentral:rRNA from 1 species